GAUGAACGCUGGCGGCGUGCCUAACACAUGCAAGUCGAGCGAAGCGCUUUAUCUGAUUUCUUCGGAUUGAAGGUUCAGUGACUGAGCGGCGGACGGGUGAGUAACGCGUGGGUAACCUGCCUCAUACAGGGGGAUAACAGUUAGAAAUGACUGCUAAUACCGCAUAAGACCACAGCACCGCAUGGUGCAGGGGUAAAAACUCCGGUGGUAUGAGAUGGACCCGCGUCUGAUUAGCUGGUUGGUGGGGUAACGGCCCACCAAGGCAACGAUCAGUAGCCGGCCUGAGAGGGUGGACGGCCACAUUGGGACUGAGACACGGCCCAA
rnacentral:rRNA from 1 species